UGAUUGAAACAUGAGCUUUAUGAUGCACCGAGCUGAGCUUAUCAGCAUUUGCAUCCCGAUUUGGAGGUGUUAUGGUUGUCAAGUGAAACUGGAGUGAUUCAACUUGAGGAGACCAUGCUGCUGGUAAAUUCCAUUCUCCACCUGCGGUUGCGUCAGCCACUGAUGCUGUAAACCUAAGACGUAGCUGUCGUGGACCAGUGGCUCCAACAAAGUGC
rnacentral:lncRNA from 1 species